GCUUUGAUGGGCUAGUGUUUAAAGCGUCCGCCUUGGGUGUGGGAGGCCGCGGGUUCGAACCCCGGCUGAGUCA